rnacentral:rRNA from 1 species
CCUACGGGAGGCAGCAGUGGGGAAUAUUGGACAAUGGGGGAAACCCUGACGCAGCAACGCCGCGUGGGUGAUGAAGGUCUUCGGAUUGUAAAGCCCUGUUUUCUAGGACGAUAAUGACGGUACUAGAGGAGGAAGCCACGGCUA